UUGAUACAUACACAUUCAUUACUGAUACAUACUGAAAAAACGAAAAAUAAGCAAAGAUGUCAGCAACAAAAAAACGUGUUGUAUGGAGCGAGCAGGAUGACCAAAUCCUGAUUGAGCUGUGGGCGCAACGUGCUGCUGAUUUGCGUCGAGCCAAACGAAAUGGGCAUAUUUAUGCUGAUAUUUCCAAGCAAAUGGCGCAUACAAAAGUGCGCAAUUUGACCCAAAAAACAUAGGGAUGAGAAAAAGAAUGUGGGUGCGUCAGGUGGCAGUCCAUCAACAUGGAAGCAUUAUAUAGCGCUACACCAAAUUAUUGGAGGAACCGCUGUUAACAAUGCGGAAGUACACGAGUCAUUUUUAUUAGACACAAUACUAAAUGAAUCCAGCCAGUCGGUAGUAGCACCAUCUCCAUCGCCUCCGUUAGCACCGUCAACACCUUCACCAUCGACAUCCAUAGCAGCAGCAUCGACGCCCUCGCCAGUACCACUGCUUUUAGCAUCAGCUGUAUCGCCUCGUGAUUCAUCUGCACCUGCUUCUUCUGGAAGAAAAAGAAAACAUACGGGAGAAGUGAUCAGGAUCAUGCAUGAACACACAGAAUUGCUGAGGAGUGUUGUGGAUGAUACCAAGGUGCUAACAAAUGAGGUUGUUACUGCCA